GUCAGUCUCACAAUAGAUUAGCGGCAGUGCCAGAAACAGGAUCCAGAAUGCCCAACUCUUUCCUCUCAGCUUCCCUUUAAGUCAAGACAAAAGGCUUUGAAAUAAGAAAGGGGCUAAAACAAAACAUGCCAGACAUCAAGCAUCAGGAUUAUCUGGUUUACAUGAGCAGGUUGAGCAAAGGCCCCUCCUAUGAGAUGCUCACAGUGCUCAGCACAGUGUGCUCUAAAGCAGAAUGCUUAGUACUGAGACAUGCUGUUGGAUGCUGCACAUAUGGAAACGAAGAUGAAGUGCUGCAAAUGGAACAGACUCAAAUCUGAAGCCUGUGGUUAUAAGAAAAUAUACUGGGGAAUACUUGUCCUACGUAAAAGUUCUAUACUCUCCAGAAAACAUCAGCAUCUGUUCUCUCAUUUCUUAGCAUCUGCAUUUAUCCCACAUACUUUUGCUUAACUUGCAAAACAACAGAAUGUUCCAAGCAAUUCAGAGCUUCAUACCUUACUGCGAGUUUUUUUGAACCUAAGAAAAUUCUUUUAUAUAGGUAUACCUAGGAUGGAUUCUAUCAACAUCUAGGAUGGAUUCCAAAAGACAUAUAUCUGAUUAAAAUAGCUUACAUAUCAAUUCUGGUGUUUUAAAUCAUCGAGUUACCGAAGUCUGAAAGCAUCUAAAACAUCUCUUGGGUAGAAGAAGGCCUAUUUUUGAACACUACUACCCCCAGGGCAAUUAGAUAAACUUCUGUAACAGCAUAUAGGACAGUUAUGAAAUUUUCCAAAGAAAGAAAACAGUCUUCUGGGAUGACAGCAACACGAGAAAUGUCAGACUAAACAUACAUUUUUGAGACGAGAUGUAAGUAACUAAACAAAGCACCCAAGUGCCGUCUCAUCCUUAAAGAGCAUCUGCCCUGUUUUCUUUGGAAAGCCUAAGCUAAGCUCUACAUCCCCAUGAUCAGCUCAGCAACUGCUACUCCACCUUCUUCCAUAAAUAUACUUCACAGAAGCAGGAGAAUGGGUUCAUUGUUGACUCAGUAGUAUCCAUUCCGUCUCUUCAAAUAUUUUCCAUUUGGUUUUUGUCGCUGUUUUGGGUUGUUUGCUUGGUUUUUGUUUGUUUGGGGUUUUAAUUUUCUUUUCCUCCCCUUGUUUUCCUUUUGUAUUUGAAGAUACAAUAUGAAGUGCAUAUCCUAGUAUUUCAUGCUGCUGGCUAUAAGCAGAUGGUCAAAUCAUUACUGAACGGCUUUAAUUGGUGCAGAGAUGAGCACAUAUUAAUUCAUACUAUUUUCAAAGUAUCUCAUGUGUUCUCACCGUUGUUACAGAAAUUAGAGGAAAAGAUCUACAUUGCUUUCUGCCUUAUGAGAUGAAGCAACUAAGUCUAAAAUAUGAAAACUUGUAUACAACCUGCUUUCUACACUACCCUAGUGGUGCGUGCCGCAAAGGAAAUGGUCUAUGCCAAUGUUUCUCUUGACAAAACUGCUACCAAAAUGAUGAAGCAAGCUCUGUUUUUGGAUGCAUGGUGAAAAAUACCUUAACAUUCCUUAAAGCUUAACUCUAGCAAUGAAGUUCCCAAACUCCUGCAAAGGCUAACUAGUUCACCUAUUAUGGAACUAACCAGUUUGUCAAGGGAAUGAAACAUCCACAUUUCCCACAGACUUCUGUGCAUAUGUUAAUGGAUCAGUACCUCAAAUAUAUUAAAGUCAUUUACACACCCACUUAUAAUAGAUUGUUUUAAAACUUGUCCUUAAUACAGAACCAGUUAUAUUGUGAAGUUGAAUUCUCUGUUUUCAAUUUUAUAAAUAAAUAGAAGUGAUUUAGCAUCCA